rnacentral:rRNA from 1 species
AACGAACGCUGGCGGCGUGGAUAAGACAUGCAAGUUGAACGCUAAUUUCGGUGUAGCAAUACAUCGGAGUUGGAGUAGCGCAAGGGUGCGUAACACGUGGGUAAUUUGCCGUGAAGUUGGGGAUAACUCGCUGAAAGGCGAGCUAAUACCGAAUGUGAAGUUUGGGUGGCAUCACCUGACCUUUAAAGCUGGGGAUCGUAAGACCUGGCGCUUUAUGAUAAGCCCGCGGCCAUCAGCUAGUUGGUGAGGUAACGGCUCACCAAGGCUAAGACGGGUAGCUGGUCUGAGAGGACGACCAGCCACACUGGAACUGAGACACUGCCCAGACU